CCCCCCUCCCCCAGCUCAGCUUGCACUGAACUUUUGCAAAACGGCUCGGGCGGGAGCUGUGUCUUUGCAGCAGGCUCCGCGAGUGCCCAGAUCCCCCGCCCCCCAGGAAAGCAACACGUUUGCAAAAGCUGAUCAGUUUCCCCUCUGAAGUUCUGAAAUGGAAGACUAGACUGAAUGGAAAUAUUAAACUCUUAAUUUCUUUCCUACAUAUUUCCAUUUGUCCUUCAUCACCUCCUCGUCCUUUUUACAAUUUCAAUGCAGAGAACCACAGUUUGCAAAAUUGGAAUUGGACAUGUACUGUCAUAUUGUUUGGGCCGGGGACAAAGACUCCAGCACAGGGAACUUUAAACUGAUCUCUAACUGGUCUCAUAACCAGUGAACACUUUAUUUCAACGUGCUUGCCUCAGAUGGACCUGCAAGAAUUGCAUGCCUCAGUACAUUGUUAAAAGAUAGAGGAAAAAUCCUUAGUCCUUACUCUGAUUAACUCCCAGUGACUAUAAUGAGUGGUUAGCCUAAGGGCCAAGUUUAAACCAAAUAAAGAUUCAGGAUUUGGAG